CAUUGACCUCGGAUCAGGUAGGGAUACCCGCUGAACUUAAGCAUAUCAAUAAGCGGAGGAAAAGAAACCAACAGGGAUUGCCUCAGUAACGGCGAGUGAAGCGGCCACGCCCCU
rnacentral:rRNA from 1 species